UACGAAGGGGGCUAGCGUUGUUCGGAAUCACUGGGCGUAAAGGGCGCGUAGGCGGCCGAUCAAGUCGGGGGUGAAAGCCUGUGGCUCAACCACAGAACUGCCUUCGAUACUGUUUGGCUUGAGACCGGAAGAGGUUAGUGGAACUGCGAGUGUAGAGGUGAAAUUCGUAGAUAUUCGCAAGAACACCAGUGGCGAAGGCGGCUGACUGGUCCGGUUCUGACGCUGAGGCGCGAAAGCGUGGGGAGCAAACAGG
rnacentral:rRNA from 1 species